GGAAGUGUGCCUGAACCCAAGGACUACUUUGAUAAAGCAGACAUGGGGCAUCAAAUUGCCCCCACUUCCC
rnacentral:tRNA from 1 species